AUUGUGUCAGGUGCUCUUAACCUUGCUGCUGCUAAAAAAUAUGAUUUGGAAGGGUGGUUUCCCGCAUCACAAACCUACAGAGAAUUGGUGUCCUGCUCAAACUGCACGGACUAUCAAGCACGGAGGCUUGGAAUCUGCUACGGGCAGAAAACGAACCGAUGUGUGGACAAAUCGGAGGGUGAUGGUCAGUCCAAGCCACGGAAGGAUGAACAGCAAUUCGUUCAUAUGCUGAACUCCACAUUGACUGCCACUGAGAGGACGAUUUGCUGCAUUCUGGAGACCUACCAGACGGAGGAUGGCGUUGAAGUGCCCAGGGCGCUGCAGCCGUACAUGGGUGGAAUAGAGUUCCUUCCUUUCGUGCAAAAUUUGUAAAUUGGAUUAUGUAGCAUACUGGCAGACUGUAUAUACCCUUUGAAAUUCGAUUUUAAGCUUAGGAUAUGCUGGAAGAGAA